rnacentral:misc_RNA from 1 species
GGUUCUUGUGCAGUUCUGGUGUAGCCACAGUACUGUUCCUUUAAAUGUGAUUAUCUCGCAGAUGGGUUCACGGUGUGGAAAGGCUCUCGUAGCUGAAAGUGUUCGAGACUCACUCCACAGUUGGUGUAAAAGAGUAAAGGACAGAUCGAAACACGAUGCUCUACGAUCUAUAACUACAAGAUCAACAUGUUCCCUUGGAUCAACAAUUGAUGAGGGGGAUGAGAUAGCAACAGUGGCAUCAGUAACUUUAUCUCCAUGUUCCUCUAGAGGCUCAUUU